rnacentral:rRNA from 1 species
CCUACGGGGGGCAGCAGUGAGGAAUAUUGGUCAAUGGACGAGAGUCUGAACCAGCCAAGUAGCGUGAAGGAUGACUGUCCUAUGGGUUGUAAACUUCUUUUAUAAAGGAAUAAAACGAGGCACGUGUGCCUUUUUGCAUGUACUUUAUGAAUAAGGAUCGGCUAACUCCGUGCCAGCAGCCGCGGUAAUACGGAGGAUCCGUGCGUUAUCCGGAUUUAUUGGGUUUAAAGGGUGCGUAGAUGGGUUGUUAAGUCAGUUGUGAAAGUUUGCGGCUCAACCGGAAAAUUGCAAUUGAUACUGGCAGUCGUGAGUACAGUUGAGGUAGGCGGAAUUCGUGGUGUAGCGGUGAAAUGCUUAGAUAUCACGAAGAACCCCGAUUGCGAAGGCAGCUUACUAAACUGUGACUGACAUUGAUGCACGAAAGUGUGGGUAUCAAACAGGAUUAGAUACCCGAGUAGUC